rnacentral:rRNA from 1 species
UGGGGAAUAUUGGGCAAUGGACGCAAGUCUGACCCAGCAACGCCGCGUGAAGGAAGAAGGCUUUCGGGUUGGUAAACUUCUUUUAAGGGGGUAAGGAGCAGAAGACGGUACCCCUUGAAUAAGCCACGGCUAACUACGUGCC